UACGUAGGGUGCAAGCGUUGUCCGGAAUUAUUGGGCGUAAAGAGCUCGUAGGCGGUUUGUUGCGUCGGCUGUGAAAUCCCGAGGCUCAACCUCGGGUCUGCAGUCGAUACGAGCAAACUAGAGUGUUGCAGGGGAGACUGGAAUUCCUGGUGCAGCGGUGAAAUGCGCAGAUAUCAGGAGGAACACCGGUGGCGAAGGCGGGUCUCGUGGGCAACAACUGACGCUGAGGAGCGAAAGCGUGGGGAGCGAACAG
rnacentral:rRNA from 1 species